UAAGUAUUCUUAUUUUGUGAAGAACCACACUUAUUCUAUCGGAAAAUACUGUAAUGAUGAUAUCAUAAUGCUGGACUUUUUAAUCGACAAUAUAUUUGUUGAGUUUGGAGGAUUGAUAUUUCAACAUACAGUAGGUAUUCCAAUAUAUACUUAUUGUGCACUCCUUCUGGCCGACUUGUACAAAGUCGAAUUUAUUCUAAAAGACAAAAAGAAAAAAGCACAUUACAAAAUACUUUUACUUUACUUUCAGAUAUAUUGAUAAUGUCCUAUUACUGAAUAACACACAUUUCAGUCAGUACUUGCAUCUCAUAUGUCCUAGUGAACUUGAAAUUUAUGGUUCUUUUGUUACAAGAAGAACUGCUUCAUACCUUGAUCUUUUCUUGACACAGAUGGACGACUUCUCACUAAAAUUAAUGACAAACGGGAUGAUUUCAACUUCCAUAUUAUCAAUUUCCCAUUUAUUAGCAGUAGCAUACCCUCUGCUCCGUCGUAUGGUUUUUACAUACUAGUAUCUCAAUUGAUACGUUAUGCUCGUGUAUGUUCCCACUGUACUGACUUCAUAUACACAGCUGUGUUCUGUAAGUAGAAACUGCUCUAACAUGAGGAGAAAAGAUUAAAAUUGACACUCUGUAAAAGUUAGGGACACCAUCACGAAUUGGUUGGUGUAUACGAUGUGUAUGUGUCUAAACUAACUAAAGACAUUUUAAACCACGUCUUAUAUUGUGGUUUAACAUCUAUUUCGUCUAUAUGCUAAGUACCUAGCGUGACCUAUUACCGAAUAGAAUUCCUGACCGAGUGUGAAUUUGUAUUGCUAAACAAUGUGUACAUUUCUGUUGUGGUUCGGUUUGAUAAUGUGUUAUGUCUUAUUGUUGUAGUCCAAAUUAGUAUAACAUUGCAUUUCAAUGCCAUCGUUGUCAAGAAAAUUGUUUGAACUAGUAUUGUGAAAUUAAUUGUAUAAAGUUAGAGAUGGCCUGUUCGUUACAUAUGUGUGACUCUGUUUGUUGAUGGAAUAUGGCCGUUGUUGUUCUGCAGUUUACAUGUUGUGUCGACUAUUGUAUUAUUUGUUUGUGCGUUUUCCUGUGAUUAUUGUUCAUGUGUGUUUAUGCUGUUUUUAUGUCAUGUAGUAAGUGUUGUCAUUUGAGCGAUAUUUUUUAACAUUGUCAUAUAAGCGGGAGGUUUGACUAGCUAUAAAACUAGGUUCAACCCAUCAGUUGUUUCUUAAAAUGUCCUGUACCAAGUCAGGAAUUUGGCAUUUGUCAUCAAAGUUUUAAAACUUUCUAUGCAUGUUGGCGUUUGUUUUGUUGCAUUUUCAGUGUUCCUGUUGUUCCUUUGUUUUCCUCUUAUGAUUGAUGUGUUUCCUUUUGUUUAAAUUUGUAACCCGGAUUUCUUUCCUCUCCACCGAUUAAUGACUUUUGACCACAGGUAUAAUACUGUUGCCUUCAUUUAUUCAUCAAUAUAACUGCUAGAUGUUGUUUGUAAUUACCAAGGAGAGAAGAGGCAUGACAGAUAGCUUUGUAGUAUAACUAUUACUAGCUAGUAUAUAUAGAUAUCAAGUCAUUGACAAUAUAAUUUUAAAUGUACUUUGUUAGCCAUCUGUAUACAUUGUCACUUAAAUUGGGAUCAACCCAAAAACUCCCUUCCCAUACAUACUUUAAACAUGCAACUACAGAAAUC
rnacentral:lncRNA from 1 species